rnacentral:rRNA from 1 species
UACGUAGGAUGCAAGCGUUGUCCGGAAUUAUUGGGCGUAAAGAGCGCGCAGGCGGUUUGAGAAGUCAGAUGUGAAAGAGGCCGGCUUAACCGGCAAGGGUCAUUUGAAACUGACAGGCUAGAGUACAGCAGAGGAUAGCGGAAUUCCCGGUGUAGUGGUGAAAUGCGUAGAUAUCGGGAGGAACACCAGUGGCGAAGGCGGCUAUCUGGGCUGAAACUGACGCUGAGGCGCGAAGGCUAGGGUAGCAAACAGG